UAGAAAGCAACCUACGCGCGAGCGUCUCUUUUGUCCGCCAAUCAAAUCAGCGGACGGCAUGCUGCGUCAUUAAUAUUCAUGUUCAAUCCCUUCUCCAUAGUACAACUCGCAAAUUCGCCUGUCGAAAGGCAGCCGAGGAUCUAUAAGCAAAGCAGAGACCGCUUGUCAGCGCUACAAAUUGACGAUAAGUUUAAUUCUUUAGUACAUUUCGGGUCAAUUUUGACUGAUAGCAAAAAUAAAUCUGAACUACCCUCAGCACGUACAGCUUUAUUUCACAUUUGAAGCUUGAAAGUUAAAGUUAUCGCGUGAUGGCUCUCCGUUGUUUGUGCUCGCGCGUCAACGGCUCCUCGAGAUGUUUUCAUAUAUUCGGACGAGUUUAACGUAAUGUCAACAUUUGCUUGCUUCCCCUCAUCCUAUGACGUGAGUACUCGGUGUUCUUGUGCAAUUGUGGAGGAUUUGAAUUAGCAGCCAUUUAAGCUGUCCUCGAGCUGUCCUAGAGAUUUCAGGUGCUCUGCUGUCAUUUAAUAACGGCUCCGAUGCAACAGUUACACGCGCGUUUCCAUCAUAAAGUGUCACCGGAGGGCCGGAUCGUCCGCCUUUCUCCUCUGAACUGAAGCCAUACAUUGUGAUGAGUGAAAUCUGGGCUGUGAACUGGAGCGACAUGCUGCCCGUCUCUUGUGGAGCACACGUGAGGAGAUGUCAUUUCCAGCAGCAGCGGCAUCAUGCGUCCUGAUGGCCGAAGCAGCAGCAGCAGCAGCGGCAGGUCGGAUGUCCUCAUGCCCAGCGCCGUCUACCCGUCCCUGGUCCUCGGCGUCGCGGCGGCGGUGCUGCUCUUCCAGUUCGGCUCUGGAGGACUUGGUCUCACCUCGUUUUUCCUCAAACUCUUUAUUUAUGUGUCCUUCGCGUUGUUCUGCUUCCUGCUGGGCAGUUUCGGGCUGCUGGUGAAGAAAAGCCCCCUGAGGAUCAGCAGGUUUGACACCACGAAGAGACAGUCGGACAAGCUCGUGGAUUUAUUCAAUAAGUUAAUGGGCCGGUUCUGUGUGCCUCUGCUGGAUUCAGCCCAGACCAGACGGGUCGUAGUUUCUCUCAAUGUAGAUAAAGCCCUUAAAGAAGUUUUUGACUACAGCUAUCGGGACUAUAUUCUGUCAUGGUACGUCCCCUUGAGUCGAGAUGAGGGCCAGCUGUACCAGAUGCUGUCGGAGGACUUCUGGGAAAUGAUCAAACAGGUGCGAAUGCGUCUGUCUGAGGUGGACGUGGUCAACCUCGUCUGUAACGACAUGGUCAAAACCCUCCACCAGCACUUCUGUGACCUCAAAGCUGCUAACACAAGGCUGGAGGAAGUUCCCCGGCCAUUUCCGUUGCAUCCAUGUCUGCAGAGUCCAGAUGAGGAACUGCGUUUCCUGCGCUGUUGUGCUCGUCUGCUCCUGCUGCGUCUGCUGCCCGUGCGGGAUGCUCGCUCUCGCAGUCUACGCCUCCUCCUGGUGGAGGUCGUCACUACUAAAGUGCUCAAGCCGUUGGUGGAUGUUUUGAGCGAUCCGGACUACAUUAACCGCAUGCUGCUAGCUCAGUUAGAGCACAGGGAGCAGGUGAACGAGCAUCAUAAGAAAGCGUACACGUAUGCGCCGUCCUACGAGGAGUUCAUCAAACUCAUCAGCAGCAGCUCUGACAUACAGUUCCUCAAACAGCUCAGGUAUCAGAUAGUUGUGGAGAUCAUCCAGGCGACCACCAUCAGCAGUAUUCCUCAGCUCAAGAGACAGAAGGACAGUAAAGGAAAAGAGGCGGCAGCGCUGAAGGCCGAUCUGUUACGUGCCAGAAACAUGAAGCGUUACAUUAACCAGCUCACGGUGGCCAAGAAGCAGUGCGAGAAGCGCAUUCGGCUCCUCGGGGGACCAAACUAUGAGCAGCAGGAGGACGGAGGCCAGGAGGAAGGAGACGGGCCUCAGAGCCAACGGAUCCUCCAGUUCGAGGAGAUCAUGUCCAACUCUGUAUAUCGGGAUCAUUUCCGCGUCUACAUGGAGCGUGUGGACAAGAGGGCUCUCAUCAGCUUCUGGGAGCUGGUGGAGAUGCUCAAGACGGCCAACAAGAAUGAAGUGCCGCAACUGGUGGGCGAGAUCUACCAGAACUUCUUCGUAGAGAGCAGGGAGAUCCCGGUGGAGAAAGCUCUGUAUAAAGAGAUCCAGCAGACUCUGGUGGGGAACAAGGGCACAGACGUGUUUCACAGGAUCCAGGGAGACGUGUACGAGACCAUGAAGGAGCGUUAUUACCCAUCAUUCCUAGUAAGCGACCUGUACGAGCGGCUGAUUAAACGAGAGGAGCAGAGGAGCAGCUCACAGUCCAGCAGCGAGGAGAAAGACGACACUGGUCAGGUGAUGGAAGGAGGAGACGUGGCUCUGGAUGAAGGCAGCAAAGGCAUCAAUGAACAGGCCAGUUACGCUGCCACCAAACUCCACCAGCUGUACGAGAGACUGGAAUACAAACGGCAAGCCCUGGGCUCGAUCCAGAAUGCACCGCGACCUGAUAAAAAGAUUGUGUCGCUCCUGAAGGAUGAAAUCAGUGCCAUGGAGAAGGAGCACAGUGACCUGGAGCUGCACAUCUCCCGGACUGACUGCUGGUGUGAAAACCUGGGCACGUGGCGAGCCGUCGUCAGCACCGCAGAGGCCUCUGAGGAGAAUGGCGAGCAGAUGGCGUGUUAUUUCGUAGCCGUGAGUCUGUCAGAAGAAGACGAUUGUAAGAAUAACCAUUGGACCGUCAGCAGGAAGCUCAUCGAGUUUCAGGCUCUGCACCGGAAGCUGACGGAGUGUUUUCCAUCACUCAAGAAGGUCCAGCUUCCCUCACUCAGCAAGCUGCCCUUCAAAUCCAUCGACCAAAAAUUCCUUGACAAAUCCAAAAAUCAACUCAACGCAUUUUUACAGAAAGUGCUGACGGAUGAGCGCAUGUGUCAGAGCGAGGCGCUGUAUGCGUUUCUCAGCCCAUCUCCAGAGCACCUGAAGGUCAUCGACAUCCAGAAGAAAUCCUCCUUCUCCCUCGCCUCCUUCCUGGAGAGGCUGCCGGGAGACUUCUUCUCACACCAGGAGUGUUCAAGUGGGUGAGGAAGACACUAAUUGCACUAGUUCAGGUCACUUUUGGACGCACUAUAAACAAGCAGAUCAGAGACACUGUAAACUGGAUCUUCAGUGAGCAGAUGAUGGUUUACUACAUCAAUGUUUUCCGGGACACAUUUUGGCCCAACGGAAAACUGGCGCCUCAUAACAAAAGCCGCUGUGAGAGCGAACGCAGAGAAAC